GACGGAGGAUGCAAGUGUUAUCCGGAAUCACUGGGCGUAAAGCGUCUGUAGGUGGUUUAAUAAGUCAACUGUUAAAUCUUGAGGCUCAACCUCAAAAUCGCAGUCGAAACUAUUAGGCUAGAGUAUAGUAGGGGUAAAGGGAAUUUCCAGUGGAGCGGUGAAAUGCGUAGAUAGUGAUAGGAACACCGAUGACGAAGGUAGUCUUCUGGACUAAUACUGACGCUGAGGCGCGAAAGCUAGGGGAGCAAACAGG
rnacentral:rRNA from 1 species